rnacentral:rRNA from 1 species
UACGGAAGGCAGCAGUGGGGAAUAUUGCACAAUGGGCGCAAGCCUGAUGCAGCCAUGCCGCGUGUAUGAAAAAGGCCUUCGGGUUGUAAAGUACUUUCAGUCGUGAGGAAGGUGUUAAGGUUAAUAACCUUAGCAAUUGACGUUAGCGACAGAAGAAGCACCGGCUAACUCCGUGCCAGCAGCCGCGGUAAUACGGAGGGUGCGAGCGUUAAUCGGAAUUACUGGGCGUAAAGGGCACGCAGGCGGUUAAUUAAGUUGGAUGUGAAAUCCCCGGGCUUAACCUGGGAAUGGCAUUCAAGACUGGUUAGCUAGAGUCUUGUAGAGGGGGUUAGAAUUCCAUGUGUAGCGGUGAAAUGCGUAGAGAUGUGGAGGAAUACCGGUGGCGAAGGCGGCCCCUGGGACAAAGGACUGACGCUCAUGUGCGAAAGCGUGGGGAGCGAAAC